rnacentral:rRNA from 1 species
UACGGGGGGGGCAAGCGUUGUUCGGAAUUAUUGGGCGUAAAGCGCACGUAGGCGGCUUGGCAAGUCGGAUGUGAAAUCCCUCGGCUCAACCAAGGAAGUGCAUCCGAAACUGCUAAGCUUGAGUACUUAAGAGGAUCGCGGAAUUCCCGGUGUAGAGGUGAAAUUCGUAGAUAUCGGGAGGAACACCAGUGGCGAAGGCGGCGAUCUGGGAAGAUACUGACGCUGAGGUGCGAAAGCGUGGGGAGCAAACAGG